rnacentral:rRNA from 1 species
CCUACGGGCGGCAGCAGUAGGGAAUUUUCGGCAAUGGGGGGAACCCUGACCGAGCAAUGCCGCGUGAAUGAUGAAGGUCUUCGGAUUGUAAAAUUCUGUCAACGGGGAAGAAUGGUACGCGCAGUGGAAAAGCGCGUGCGUGACGGUACCUGUUUAGAAAGCCCCGGCUAACUAUGUGCCAGCAGCCGCGGUAAUACAUAGGGGGCGAGCGUUAUCCGGAUUUAUUGGGCGUAAAGCGUGCGUAGGCGGUUUAUUAGGUCAGGCGUAAAAGAUCACAGCUCAACUGUGUAAGGCGUUUGAAACCGGUAGACUUGAAUAUGGUAGAGGUAAGUGGAAUUCCAUGUGUAGCGGUGGAAUGCGUAGAUAUAUGGAGGAACACCAAUGGCGAAGGCAGCUUACUGGGCCAGAAUUGACGCUGAGGCACGAAAGCGUGGGGAGCAAACAGGAUUAGAUACCCCAGUAGUC